ensembl:lncRNA
GAGAGAUAGAUAGUGGUUGGGGUGAGAGAUAGAUAGUGGUUGGGGUGAGAGAUAGAGAGUAGUUGGGGUGAUAGAUAGAGAUUGGUUGGGGUGAAAGAGAGAUCGUGGUUUGGGUGAGAGAGAGAUAGUGGUUGGGGUGAGAGAAAGAGAGUGGUUGGGGUGAGAGAGAGAGAUAGUGGUUGGGGUGAAAGAGAUAGUGGUUGGGGUGAGAGAGAUAGUGUGGUUGGGGUGAGAGAUAGAAAGUAGUUGGGGUGAUAGAUAGAGAUUGGUUGGGGUGAGAGAGAGAUUGUGGUGUGGGUGAGAGAGAGAUAGUGGUUGGGGUGAGAGAAAGAGAGUGGUUGGGGUGAGAGAGAGAGAUAGUGGUUGGGGUGAGAGAGAUAGUGGUUGGGGUGAGAGAGAUAGUGGUUGGGGUGAGAGAUAGAUAGUGGUUGGGGUGAGAGAUAGAUAGUGGUUGGGGUGAGAGAUAGAUAGUGGUUGGGGUGAAAGAGAGAUAGUGGUUGGGGUGAGAGAGAUAGUGUGGUUGGGGUGAGAGAGAGAUAGUGGUUGGGGUGAGAGAUAGAUAGUGGUUGGGGUGAGAGAUAGAUCGUGGUUGGGGUGAGAGAUAGAUAGUGGUUGGGGUGAGAGAUAGAUAGUAGUUGGGGUGAGAGAUAGAUAGUGGUUGGGGUGAGAGAUAGAGAGUGGUUGGGGUGAGAGAGAUAGUGGUUGGGGUGAGAGAGAGAGAUAGAUAGUAGUUGUUGUGAGAGAUCGAUAGUGGUUGGGAUGAGAGAUAGAUAGUGGUUGGGGUGAGAGAUAGAUAGUAGUUGGGGUGAGAGAUAGAUAGUGUUUGGGGUGAAAGAGAGAUAGUGGUUGGGGUGAGAGAGAUAGUGGUUGGGGUGAGAGAGAUAGAUAGUAUUUGGGGUGAGAGAUAGAUAGUAGUUGGGGUGAGAGAUAGAUAGUGGUUGGGGUGAGAGAUAAAUAGUAGUUGGGGUGAGAG